rnacentral:rRNA from 1 species
AGAGUUUGAUCCUGGCUCAGGACCAACGCUGGCGGCGUGCCUAACACAUGCAAGUCGAGCGGUUCGGCACUCAAGCUUGCUUGGGUUUCGGAGCGGCGGCGCACGGGUGAGUAACACGUGGGUAAUCUAUCCGGGAGACCGGGAUAACAGCUCGAAAGGGCUGCUAAUACCGGAUAAACCCGAGGGGUCGCAUGGUCUUUCGGGCAAAGGUUGGCAACUUCCGUUUCCGGGUGAGCCCGCGCCUCAUUAGCUAGUUGGUAGGGUAACGGCCUACCAAGGCGACGAUGAGUAGCUGGUCUGAGAGGAUGGUCAGCCACACUGGGACUGAGACACGGCCCAGACUCCUACGGGAGGCAGCAGUGGGGAAUCUUGCUCUUUGGGCGAAAGCCUGACGCAGCGACGCCGCGUGAGCGAUGAAGGCCUUCGGGUUGUAAAGCUCUGUCAGAGGGGAAGAUCGUGACGGUACCCUCAGAGGAAGCCCCGGCUAACUACGUGCCAGCAGCCGCGGUAAGACGUAGGGGGCGAGCGUUGUCCGGAAUUACUGGGCGUAAAGGGCGUGUAGGCGGCCUGGCAAGUCAGUGGUGAAAAACCUGGGCUCAACCGAGGUAUUGCCAUUGAAACUGCCUG